UGCAAGUCGAACGAUGAAGCUGCCUGCUUGCAGGUGGUGGAUUAGUGGCGAACGGGUGAGUAUCACGUGAGUAACCUGCCCUUGACUCUGGGAUAAGCCCGGGAAACUGGGUCUAAUACCGGAUAUGACCUCUCAUCGCAUGGUGGGGGGUGGAAAGUUUUUAACGGUCUUGGAUGGGCUCGCGGCCUAUCAGCUUGACGGUGGGGUAGUGGCCUACCGUGGCUUUGACGGGUAGCCGGCCUGAGAGGGUGACCGGCCACACUGGGACUGAGACACGGCCCAGACUCCUACGGGAGGCAGCAGUGGGGAAUAUUGCACAAUGGGCGCAAGCCUGAUGCAGCGACGCCGCGUGCGGGAUGACGGCCUUCGGGUUGUAAACCGCUUUCAGUACAGAAGAAGCCCUUUUUGGGUGACGGUAUGUGCAGAAGAAGCGCCGGCUAACUACGUGCCAGCAGCCGCGGUAAUACGUAGGGCGCGAGCGUUAUCCGGAAUUAUUGGGCGUAAAGAGCUUGUAGGCGGUUUGCCGCGUCUGCUGUGAAAGCCCGGGGCUUAACUCCGGGUGUGCAGUGRGUACGGGCAGGCUAGAGUGCAGUAGGGGAGACUGRAAUUCCUGGUGUAGCGGUGAAAUGCGCAGAUAUCAGGAGGAACACCGAUGGCGAAGGCAGGUCUCUGGGCUGUUACUGACGCUGAGAAGCGAAAGCAUGGGUAGCGAACAGGAUUAGAUACCCUGGUAGUCCAUGCCGUAAACGUUGGGCACUAGGUGUGGGGGACAUUCCACGUUUUCCGCGCCGUAGCUAACGCAUUAAGUGCCC
rnacentral:rRNA from 1 species